rnacentral:tRNA from 1 species
GGUCAUGUGGCCUAGUGGUCAUGGCAUCUGCCCGGUAAGCAGAAGGUCGUGGGUUCGAUUCCCAUCCCUUGACACCU